rnacentral:rRNA from 1 species
UACGUAGGGGGCAAGCGUUGUCCGGAUUUACUGGGCGUAAAGAGCGUGUAGGCGGCCACGCAGGUCCGUUGUGAAAACUGGAGGCUCAACCUCCAGCUGUCGACGGAAACCGUGUGGCUAGAGUCCGGAAGAGGAGAGUGGAAAUUCCCGGUGUAGCGGUGAAAUGCGCAGAUAUCGGGAAGAACACCCGUGGCGAAGGCAGCUCGCUGGGACGGUACUGACACUGAGACGCGAAAGCGUGGGGGAGACAAACAGGAUU